rnacentral:rRNA from 1 species
CAGGUCAGGCGGGGCUACCCGCUGAGUUUAAGCAUAUCAAUAAGCGGAGGAAAAGAAACUAACAAGGAUUCCCCUAGUAA